rnacentral:rRNA from 1 species
GACGAACGCUGGCGGCGUGCUUAACACAUGCAAGUCGAGCGGAAAGGCCUCCUUCGGGGGGUACUCGAGCGGCGAACGGGUGAGUAACGCGUAGAUAAUCUACCUGGUGAUCUGGGAUAACACUUCGAAAGGGGUGCUAAUACCUGAUAAGCCCACAGAGUCCUUGGACUCAGCGGGAAAAGGGGGGGACCUUCGGGCCUUCUGUCAUCAGAUGAGUCUGCGUACCAUUAGCUAGUUGGUGGGGUAAAGGCCUACCAAGGCGACGAUGGUUAGCUGGUCUGAGAGGAUGAUCAGCCAAACUGGAACGGAGACACGGUCCAGACUCCUACGGGAGGCAGCAGUGGGGAAUUUUGCGCAAUGGGCGAAAGCCUGACGCAGCAACGCCGCGUGAGUGAUGAAGGCUCUUGGGUCGUAAAGCUCUGACAGAGGGAAAGAAAUGCAUGGUGGCUAAUAUCCACUGUGCUUGACGGUACCCUCAAAGGAAGCACCGGCUAACUCCGUGCCAGCAGCCGCCGUAAAAC